GAUGAACGCUAGCGGCAGGCCUAAUACAUGCAAGUCGAACGGUGUCUUCGGACAUAGUGGCGCACGGGUGCGUAACACGUAUGCAACCUACCUUACAUUGGGGGAUAGCCUUUCGAAAGGGAGAUUAAUACCGCAUAAGACAGUAACUAGGCAUCUAGUAGCUGUUAAAGAUUUAUCGAUGUAAGCUGGGCAUGCGUCCAAUUAGCUAGUUGGUGAGGUAACGGCUCACCAAGGCUAUGAUUGGUAGGGGAACUGAGAGGUCAAUCCCCCACACUGGCACUGAGAUACGGGCCAA
rnacentral:rRNA from 1 species